AUCGCUUCUUGGCCUUUUGGCUAAGAUCAAGUGUAGUAUCUAAGCACACCCACAUAUAUCGAGUCUCC
ensembl:snRNA U2 U2 spliceosomal RNA